UUAUACACCUGUGGCCAUGGAAGUGAUUGGAACACCUGAAUUCAAUUAUUUGGAUGGGACUUCAUCUUGUAAUGGAGUAUUUUUACAGUGUGUAACUGUUACUUUUGCCAAAGUGCACAACAGUCUUCCACCCGUGGAAUAAAUAAAAAAAGCUCAUGCAUGAAAAAGAGGAACAGGAAAGCAAAGUUGCACCUAUUCGGACAUUUUAGUUUACGAACAACUGGAAGUUGGUGCGUCGCUGUUUUUAUCCCCUCAGUUUUCAACAAGAAGGAACCAAACACGUCUGCCCUAUGGGUAUCGGAGCUCCGGGAGCUCUGCAGCUGUAUGAAGAUGCUACAGUUGUGGAACAACGGCCAGCAGCUGUGUGAGGAAGGAAGCCGGACUGACCAACAUCGUGUUCUUAAGUUUCACCUGCUGCCUCAGCCAGUUGAAUUCUGUUACUUUGUCUCUGCUGUGCUCUAUUGACGCUAGUGAGCAUGCGCAGCUCUGAUAGCGCUUAUGCGACACAGCCUGUUUUUGCUGCAAAGCUCUUCCUGUCUGUGGAGGUGGCAGACUUGCAUUUGUCUAUGAAGAGCCAAUGUUUAUAAUUUCAUAUCUGACGCUUUAUUUUGUUGGUGCAAGAAUCCUUCAAAUCCAAGUUUGCCAUAAAAAGAAUUUUGUCCUUUGAUUUGCAUUAUUGCCAGCAGUGGCCUAAUGUGACCAAAGAAUUUAAAGGAAUGACAAUGCUAUGCUUCCAAUUCUGUGGCAACAGUUUGGUGAAGGUCCUUUUCUAUUCCAGCAUGACUGUGUCCCAGUGCACAAAGCAAAGUCCAUAAAGACAUGGCUGGAUGAGUUUGGUGUGGAAGAACUUGACUGGCCCACACAGAACCCUGACCUCAACCCCAUCCAACACCUUUGGGACAAACUGGAAUAGAGACUGUGAGCCAGUCCUUUUCAUAAAAUAUCAGUGCCUCAGUGCUCUACUGCAUGAAUGGGCAAAAAUGCCCACAGAAACACUUCAACAUGUUGUGGAAAGCCUUCCCAGAAGAGUGGAAGCUGUUGUAGCUGCAAAGCUGUCUUUGUAUUUAGAAUGCAAUGUCAUUAUAAACCUCUGUUGGUGGAAUGGGCAGGUGGCCCAUUACUUUUGUCCAUAUUUUUUACAUGAGUUCGCACAUCUGCCUAAACUACCUUGUUAUAAAUCGUUUUUUCAGAGAUUAUAUACUGUUUCAAUGCACUGUAUGUGUUAGAGUGGUGAAGAUUUGCUUUAUCAUCCUGUGGAAUGUCCUGAUGGUGGAUGUUUGUGGAUGUAAUUCUAAGUGAAACCUUAUUACAUCAGCAGGAUAGCAGGGGCGAGUUCCCUUCAUGUAAUACAUGUAGUCUUCAAGUCUUUACAACAUCAGUUAAUACAGCAUGUUGGUCUUUUGAAAUCUUUGCCAUAUAUUUUGUCUCUUUCUUUGCGUGCAUGAAGUUUUGUGUUUCAGCACUCUCACAUAGUAAUCAUGCUUUGCUUGACUAAAAAGAAACAUAAUUUAACGCUCACCGUAGUGGAUUACCUUAACCAAAUAAUUGUGGAGAAUUAAACCAGUAGCUGUCUAUAAGGUACCACUCAGAAAAGAAACAUUUAGACCUAAUAUGUAACAUUUCUGCAUUAAAAUGACUAACAACGAUAAGAUCCUUUUUAUAUCCUUUGUUUAGUUGUCCAUCUGAUCCCAAAUGUUUCCAGGACUGCUCAAACUCAGAAAGAGCUGUAAUUUUAUUCAAGCUAGCGGUGCAUUCAAUUUCACUUGAUUGCCUGUCAGUGUAACUGCUGGGAGAGAGUCAAGAGAGUGACGUGAAUAAAACUUUAAAGCAUUACCUCGUAUAUGAACAAUUCUGGCUGAAUCACGUCACAUAGAUUUUCAUCUGCAGUGGUUGUUGUUUAACAAUCAACACAACAACUCCCAUGAUCCCACGCAACCUACAUCUUUUGCAGAGAGUCCAGUGUUUUAGCAUUGAAAUGUACUGAUCUGACAUGAAUUGACUUCUUUUAACUUAAGAACCUUUAAUCCACGUGUAUGAAACUUGCUUUAUGAAAAAAAAAAACAAAAUAAAAACCCUGCCUCAGCAACUACAGUACACGUGAAAGUGAUUGAGACAAAAGAGAUUUUUAUUAUAAUAGAGGAUAUAAAAUAAAUAUACAUGACUUUUUUUUUCUCAUUUAACAGUCAUUUGUACAGUGAAAUUUGGACAAGUUUGCUAAAAGCAGCUAAAUAAAUGUUAUUUUCUUUU